rnacentral:rRNA from 1 species
CCUGCCCAGUGACUAGAUUAAACGGCCGCGGAACUCUGACCGUGCGAAGGUAGCGCAAUCAAUUGUUCUUUAAAUGAGGACCAGAAUCAACGGCAUCACGAGGAUCCUACUGUCUCCCCCCUCUAAUCAGUGAAAUUGAUCUCCCCGUGAAGAAGCGGGGAUAUAAAUAUAAGACGAGAAGACCCCAUGGAGCUUUAAACCCAACAACACCUAUCUAUUUUAUUCCCCCAUAUUUAUACGGUUAUGUUUGUUUGGUUUUAGGUUGGGGUGACCGCGGAGUAUAAAACAACCUCCACGAAGAAAAGACUAAUAAUCUUUAUCAGAGAAAGACAUUUCUAAGAAAUAAUAUAUUAACUUUAAAUGAUCCGAUAUUCGAUUAACGAAUCAAGUUACCCUGGGGAUAACAGCGCAAUCCACCUUAAGAGCCCUUAUCGACAGGUGGGUUUACGACCUCGAUGUUGGAUCAGGGUAUCACAGUGGUGCAGCAGCUACUAAUGGUUCGUUUGUUCAACGAUUAAAACCCU